rnacentral:rRNA from 1 species
GACGAACGCUGGCGGCGUGCUUAACACAUGCAAGUCGAACGGAAAGGCCCUGCUUUUGUGGGGUGCUCGAGUGGCGAACGGGUGAGUAACACGUGAGUAACCUGCCCUUGACUUUGGGAUAACUACAGGAAACUGGGGCUAAUACCGGAUAGGAGCUCCUGCUACAUGGUGGGGGUUGGAAAGUUUCGGCGGUUGGGGAUGGACUCGCGGCUUAUCAGCUUGUUGGUGGGGUAGUGGCUUACCAAGGCUUUGACGGGUAGCCGGCCUGAGAGGGUGACCGGCCACAUUGGGACUGAGAUACGGCCCAGACUCCUACGGGAGGCAGCAGUGGGGAAUAUUGCACAAUGGGCGGAAGCCUGAUGCAGCAACGCCGCGUGCGGGAUGACGGCCUUCGGGUUGUAAACCGCUUUCGCCUGUGACGAAGCGUGAGUGACGGUAAUGGGUAAAGAAGCACCGGCUAACUACGUG